UUUCCGUAGGUGAACCUGCGGAAGGAUCAUUCAUAAUAAGUGUUUUAUGGCACUUUUUUAAAUCCAUAUCCACCUUGUGUGCAAUGUCAGGGUUGGUCUCUUUUGAUCAGCCCCAAACAUCAACUAUUAUCUCAACUCUUUGUCUGAAAAAUGUUAUGAAUAAAACAAUUCAAAAUACAACUUUCAACAACGGAUCUCUUGGCUCUCGAUCGAUGAAGAACGCAGC
rnacentral:misc_RNA from 1 species